CUCCACGGUCACCCUCCCCGGCCCCCAGCCCUGCCGGCCACAUGCCUGCUUCCCAUGCUGGUUCCCGAUGUCCCUCUAUAUCCGGGGCCUUUGCUUAGUGUCCCCGAGGUCUGCGUGUGCUGUGACGCAUGUCAGAGCCUCGCUCCUGCUCGCGGCGUGUUCCCUUGCAAGGCUGGACCGCGUACUGUCACCCCGCCUGAAUCAUCCCCAAUGCAGGACACCUGGUAAACUUGCGAGAGCCGGAGACCUACCUGGAAAUCAGCCAUUUUUUCCAAGGCCUUUUGACAGGGCAGACGUCUCCUAACAUUUCCUGGACGAAGUCACCGACGGCGAGUUCAGGCUCCCUCACUGUCUACACCG